rnacentral:rRNA from 1 species
CCUACGGGAGGCAGCAGUGGGGAAUAUUGCACAAUGGGCGCAAGCCUGAUGCAGCCAUGCCGCGUGUGUGAAGAAGGCCUUCGGGUUGUAAAGCACUUUCAGCGGGGAGGAAGGCGUUAAGGUUAAUAACCUUGUCGAUUGACGUUACCCGCAGAAGAAGCACCGGCUAACUCCGUGCCAGCAGCCGCGGUAAUACGGAGGGUGCAAGCGUUAAUCGGAAUUACUGGGCGUAAAGCGCACGCAGGCGGUCUGUCAAGUCGGAUGUGAAAUCCCCGGGCUCAACCUGGGAACUGCAUUCGAAACUGGCAGGCUAGAGUCUUGUAGAGGGGGGUAGAAUUCCAGGUGUAGCGGUGAAAUGCGUGGAGAUCUGGAGGAAUACCGGUGGCGAAGGCGGCCCCCUGGACAAAGACUGACGCUCAGGUACGAAAGCGUGGGGAGCAAACAGGAUUAGAUACCCGAGUAGUC